rnacentral:rRNA from 1 species
CCUACGGGGCGCAGCAGUAGGGAAUCUUUCACAAUGGGCGAAAGCCUGAUGGAGCAACGCCGCGUGCAGGAUGAAGGCCUUCGGGUUGUAAACUGCUUUUAUAAGCGAGAAAUAUGAUGGUAACUUAUGAAUAAGGAUCGGCUAACUACGUGCCAGCAGCCGCGGUCAUACGUAGGAUCCGAGCAUUAUCCGGAGUGACUGGGUGUAAAGGGAGCGUAGACGGUGAUGCAAGUCUGGAGUGAAAGGCGGGGGCCCAACCCCCGGACUGCUCUGGAAACUGGGUAACUUGAGUGCAGGAGAGGUAA